GCCUACGGCCAUACCACCCUGAAAGCGCCCGAUCUCGUCUGAUCUCGGAAGCUAAGCAGGGACGGGCUUGGUUAGUACCUGGAUGGGAGACAGCCUGGGAAUACCAGGUGUUGUAGGCU
ensembl:rRNA 5S_rRNA 5S ribosomal RNA